GUGCUGGGUCUUUGUUGUUGCAGGUGGACUGUCUCUGGUUGCAGAGAGCUAGGGCUUCUCUUCACUGUGGUGCCACAGCUUCUCAUUGCAGUAGCUUUUCCUGUUGCAGAGCACAGGCUCUAGAGCCAGGGGGCUCAGUAGUGUGGCUCUUGAGGGCUUAUUUGCCCUUGGGUAUGUGGAAUAUUCUCAGACCAUGGAUUGAACCUGUGACAGGCAGAUUCUUAACUGUUGGACCACCAGGGAAGUUCUAGGUUUCUUUUUGUGUGAGAAAACCUCCCACUAAUGUUUAAUUUUAGUGUUUUAUAUUGACUCUAUCAGAAGUCCUUCCCUUAUUUGCAGGUGAGUGGAAUGGUGCCUGAGGAGGUAAGAACAAAAGCACAUUGAGAGGAAGGAGGGAUGACAGACUCAGUUCUAGAGGACCCAAUGGGAUUUGCUCUCAGGGACACCUACAGACUUCCUUACCCAUGUUCAAGUUGGCCCCUGGACUAAGUGACCUGUGGCUGACUUGAAAGAAACUCACCUUUGUAAACACUGUUCCGUGAAUUAUACCUAACUCUAGAAGAAGAAAUCAAACUUAAAAUGGAAGGUGGGUGAAGAGGAAGAGGCCCCAGGGGAAGGAUCUGAAUUCCCUGACCAGUGAUUGAAACUGUGCUCCCUGCAGUGGAAGUGUGGAGUCUUAACUACCGGACCAUCAGGGACUUACCUGAACACAGGCUCUAGGGUUCAUAGGCUUCAGUAGUUGUGGCACACUGACUGUUGCCCCACAGGAUGUGGAAUCUUCCGACACCAGGGAUGAACG
ensembl:lncRNA